UAACAAGGAUUCCCCCAGUAACGGCGAGUGAAGAGGGAAUAGCCCAAAUUUGUAAUCUGGCCCUUUCAGGGUCCGAGUUGUAAUCUCGAGAACUGUUUUCCGUGCUGGACCAUGUACAAGUCUGUUGGAAUAUAGCUUCAUAGAGGGUGAGAAUCCCGUACAUGACAUGGACUACCAGUGCUUUGUGAUACAGUCUCUAAGAGUCGAGUUGUUUGGGAAUGCAGCUCAAAUUGGGUGGUAAAUUCCAUCUAAGGCUAAAUAUUGGCGAGAGACCGAUAGCGAACAAGUACCGUGAGGGAAAGAUGAAAAGCACUUUGGAAAGAGAGUUAACAGUACGUGAAAUUGUUGAAAGGGAAACGCUUGAAGUCAGUCUUGUUCUUGGUUGUUCAACCUUACGGUGUAUUCAACCUUGAGCAGGCCAGCAUCAGUUUUAAAUGCCGGAUAAGGGUAAAGGAAAUGUAGCAGUCUUGGCUGUGUUAUAGUCCUUUACUUGAUACGGUGUUCGAGACUGAGGAACGCAGUGAGCCUUUUGGCGGGUCUUUGGCCUUCUCACUAUGGAUGCUGGCGUAA
rnacentral:rRNA from 1 species